AUUGAACGCUGGCGGCAGGCCUAACACAUGCAAGUCGAACGAGUGGCGGACGGGUGAUUAAUGUCUGGGAAACUGCCCGAUGGAGGGGGAUAACUACUGGAAACGGUAGCUAAUACCGCAUACCAUCGGAUGUGCCCAUAUGGGAUUAGCUAGUCGGUGGGGUAACGGCUCACCUAGGCGACGAUCCCUAGCUGGUCUGAGAGGAUGACCGGCACCACUGGAACGAAGACACGGUCCAGAGCCCUACGGGAGGAAGCAGUGGGAAAUAUGGCACAAUGGGCGCAAGCCUGAUGAAGCCAUGCGGGGUGUAUGAAGAAGGCCUUGGGGUUGUAAAGUACUUUAAGCGAGGAGGCGUAACUAGCUGAAGAAGCACCGGCUAACUCCGUGCAAGCAGCCGCGGUAAUC
rnacentral:rRNA from 1 species